rnacentral:lncRNA from 1 species
GAGUGGUUUCCCCCAUGCUGUUCUCGUGACAGGGAGUGAGUUCUCACGAGAUCUGAUGGUUUCAUAAGGGGCUCUUCCCCCUUCAUUCGGCCCUUCUUCCUCCCACCUUGUGAAGAAGGUGCCUUGCUUCCCCCUCACCUUCUGCCGUGAUUGUAAAUUUCCAGAGGCCUCCCCAGCCAUGCUGCACGGUUCUAUGGAACCCUGGAAUGAAGAGGAUGCCAACCUUGAAAAGCUAUUCUAGUUCUUUCAAUGUGCCAUAAUGGUAUAGGAGCAAAUGUUUCUGCUGAGGUGAGGACACCAUGUUCCUCUACUGUUGUGGAUGCAGCCCUCACCAGACGACCGAACCUGCCAGUGCCUUGUUCUUGGACUUCCUAGCCUUCAGAACUGCCAGAAUCCUGCUAGGACAUCUCUGCCUGUGGAAGGAGGGCUGGAUGGCAUACUGGGAAUGGCUUUCUAGGAUGACUUCCUGUUGCUACAGACUACAAGAAGCAUUUCUGGCCUUGAUGUUGUCUGAAUGAAGAAGACAUAGGAGUUUCACCAAAGUAAUGAAAGCUGGCUGAGCAAAAACCCAGAGCAUAAUUUCUCACUGGCUGGCUGCUCCAGAUAGUAAUAGCUUCAGUGCCCUUCAGAGUGGAAUUUUCCUGAGCCUGUGAAGAUGUGUGAGGUGUACCCAGCAGGUAGGAUCCUGAUUGUUACACGAACUGUCCACCUCCAUCCAGAGCCGUGUGGCUUGUAGUGCCUUCUCGUGGCAGGUAUAUUUUCCUGCCUGUUCACGUGACUUGUGUUGGCCAGUGGAAUAUAGUUUGAUCUGCAGUAGUUUGAAUCUGAGGAUGCUGAACCUGUGGAUAAGGAGAGCCUACUUUUCUUGGACAAAUGCCCUGUGUCAGAAGAGUGUGGUAAACAGAAGCUCAGCUCCUUCAAGGAUGACAGCCUUGGUUACACCACCAGUUUCUCUAGGAAAAGAGACCAAAGUCAGGGAGCAGUCGUUUUCACAUGGGAUGAACUCAGUGUAAGAGGCAAGCAGAUUGUGGAAGAUUAGAAGAUAAUGGAUACUAUUAUUCCAUCCAGAUUCCUCUUCAGGACCAAGGACUCAUUUUCCAGCUGGCAGGAAUGUUAGCUACUGACGGCCAUGGCUGAGUUCCUCUUCAGGAAUUAUCCUCCACUUGAGGGGAAUUGCUUUGUUCAGUGUUACACUCCCUCUAUAGUGGCAGCCCACACUGGUUGAUGUGGGGUACAAAGUCCUGGACCUUGUCUUAGAUGGGAUAGUUCUGAAGGGCUAUUCCAGCUCCAGAACUCCUCAUAGGAUUGGCUGAGGUCUCCUCUGCAACUGGAUCACAGUUCAACUUUUUCUUCUGCCCAGUCCUUCUUCUCUCAUCUGUUGCCAGUUUUAUUCGUGUGAGCAUUCGGAUCACCAACGCUGUGACCUCGCUGUGUGAACGGGAGCUACUACAGGAAGGAAGCUUACAAAUGAGCUGCAUGGAUCCCACAUUUUGCUAAAAUCAAAUAGGACCUUUCUCCUCUUUGUUGAAUGCCGUAAUACACAAGAAAUAAGCCAGCAGGAUGCUCAUGUCCAAGGUUUCCCUUUAUCUACCACACGAGUUGGCAUGAAACAACUUCUGGGGUUCAAAUCUUCUGAACAAUGAUACAAGUCUUGGCAAAUUUCAAGAAUAAUUUAAAGAGGAAAUAAAUAGCUUUUUGUUUAACUUGGAUCAAUUAUCUCCUAUUGCUCCCAGCUUCAUGCCAGGUACUCUCCACUGUGCCUGGGAAAUAUGAAUCCCUGCCCUCAUGAAAAAACAUUGGCCAUGAGGAUUUUCCCUACAACCCAAGAACUAUUUGAAGUUUGAAGUCUUUCAGCCCAGACAACACUGGCUAUUUUCACCUUUGCCUUCAACUAUAAAGGCUGGGCUCUCUCUGCAGGAGUGGGUUACUGCUGGCAGAACAGAGAAAGAGAGAGAGCAGGAGAGAGAGAGACAGACAGAAUCCACUAGUAGAAUAAGCCAUGAUCACCACUCAAAACUUUUGCUACUACUUGAUCAGUACCUGGAAUUCUGAGGAAAACCCUAUUAGAGAUUGCAAAUCCAGUAAAUAAAGGCAGCAGUGGUACCUUGUUAAAAACAUCAAAUCCAAAGUGCUCUGAGGAGGAAUAUGUACGGUGUGUUCUAGGGACAGAAAAUAAGACAAACGUGGCUGGAGUAUUGGAAGGGGAAGUGAGUGUUACUAGAGAAGGUCAUGAGGUGAGGCGGGCCAGAUCAUAUGGGUCUGUGUAAGCUAUGGCAAGGAGUGUGGAUUUUAUUCCAAGUAAGAUGGAAAGCCUUUAUGAAGUUUUAAAAACGGCAGUGUUAUGAUUUGUAACAUCUGAGUUUAUGUUUACAUCGUGGCCAAAUUAUUUUAUAAAAUAAUGUAAUAAUGGUUCAACAGUUUGAUUGUGUUGCCCUUAAAAUUUCACAAGACUUAAAAUUUUCUACACUAUUCAUUUCAGUAUUGACUGUAAUUUAAUAACUCAAUUAGUAAUGUUAAAUAAAUUAUUUGUUACUACCUAUUGAAAUUAUAUAUAUAUAUACACACAC